rnacentral:rRNA from 1 species
AGCGAACGCUGGCGGCAGGCCUAACACAUGCAAGUCGAACGAAGUCUUCGGACUUAGUGGCGGACGGGUGAGUAACACGUGGGAACGUGCCUUUAGGUUCGGAAUAACUCAGGGAAACUUGCGCUAAUACCGAAUGUGCCCUUCGGGGGAAAGAUUUAUCGCCUUUAGAGCGGCCCGCGUCUGAUUAGCUAGUUGGUGAGGUAAAGGCUCACCAAGGCUACGAUCAGUAGCUGGUCUGAGAGGAUGACCAGCCACAUUGGGACUGAGACACGGCCCAAACUCCUACGGGAGGCAGCAGUGGGGAAUCUUGCGCAAUGGGCGAAGGCCUGACGCAGCCAUGCCGCGUGGAUGAUGAAGGUCUUAGGAUUGUAAAAUCCUUUCACCGGUGAAGAUAAUGACUGUAGCCGGAGAAGAAGCCCCGGCUAACUUCGUGCCAGCCGCCGCAGUAAGAC